AUUAAGCGACAAGGAAGACAGAGCUA
rnacentral:sRNA from 1 species